rnacentral:rRNA from 1 species
UAGAUGCGAGAGUAGAGCAUAUCAAUAAGCGGAGGAAAAGAAACUAACAAGGAUUCCCUUAGUAACGGCGAGUGAAGCGGGAAGAGCUCAAAUUUGAAAUCUUCAAGGUUCUACCUUGACGAAUUGUAGUUUAAAGAAGUGUUUUCUGUUAGGAUGAGUAGCAAAAGUUCCUUGGAAUGGGACAUCAUAGAGGGUGAGAAUCCCGUAUUUGGUUAUUCAUUCUAGCUUUGUGAUACACUUUCAAAGAGUCGGAUUGUUUGGGAAUGCAGUCCAAAAUGGGUGGUAAAUUUCAUCUAAAGCUAAAUAUUGGCGAGAGACCGAUAGCGAACAAGUACCGUGAGGGAAAGAUGAAAAGAACUUUGAAAAGAGAGUUAAACAGUACGUGAAAUUGUCAAAAGGGAAGCGUUUGACACCAGUGUUGUUUUUCCGAAAAUCAAUUACGAAUGGCUUGAUUUUGUGUUGUAUUGACCUUAUCAGCUUUCUGCACUUUUUUCGAGUCUUUCUUAAUGCACUUUUCGGUUAACAAGUCAACAUCAAUUUCUUUUGUUGUAAAAGAGUAUUCGGAAGGUGGCUUUCUUUUCGGAGAAAGUGUUUAUAGCCCUAUACUUCUACAAUCGGAGAGAUUGAGGUCUGCAGCGUAGAUCCUUCGGGGUUAGAUACACUUGUGCUAAGUUGUAGCUUUUCAUAGACAACUUGUUGACUAUGUUUAGUCAUGCGGCUUACUCGCUUAUGCUAUUUUACCUACGCUUAGGAUGUUGAGCGCAUGUCUCUCUCU